GACGUAGGGCGCGAGCGUUGUCCGGAUUUAUUGGGCGUAAAGAGCUCGUAGGCGGCUUGUUGCGUCGACUGUGAAAACCCGCGGCUUAACUGCGGGCUUGCAGUUGAUACGGGCAGGCUAGAGUUCGGUAGGGGAGACUGGAAUUCCUGGUGUAGCGGUGAAAUGCGCAGAUAUCAGGAGGAACACCGGUGGCGAAGGCGGGUCUCUGGGCCGAUACUGACGCUGAUGCGCGAAAGCCAGGGGAGCAAACGGG
rnacentral:rRNA from 1 species